rnacentral:rRNA from 1 species
CACGUAGGGGGCGAGCGUUGUCCGGAUUUAUUGGGCGUAAAGAGCUCGUAGGCGGCUCGGUAAGUCAGGUGUGAAAACUCUAGGCUCAACCUAGAGACGCCACCUGAUACUGCUGUGGCUAGAGUCCGGUAGGGGAGCAUGGAAUUCCUGGUGAUAGCGGUGAAAUGCGCAGAUAUCAGGAGGAACACCAGUGGCGGAAAGGCGGUGCUCUGGGGCCGGAACUGACGCUGGAGGAAGCGAAAGCGUGGGGAGCAAACAGG